CCCUUAGAUGUUCUGGGCCGCACGCGCGCUACAAUGAUGAAUUCAACGAGUUUAUAACCUUGGUUGAAAAGCCUGGGUAAUCUUUUGAACUUUCGUCGUGAUGGGGCUAGACCCUUGCAAUUAUUGGUCUCCAACGAGGAAUUCCUAGUAAACGCAAGUCAUCAGCUUGCAUUGAUUACGUCCCUGCCCUUUGUACACACCGCCCGUCGCACCUACCGAUUGAAUGGUCCGGUGAAUUGUUUUGAUCGAUAAGAUUUGACUAUGGUCAACUCUCGUUGUGAAAUUCUGUGAAUCUGACUGUUUAGAGGAAGGAAAAGUCGUAACA
rnacentral:rRNA from 1 species